rnacentral:pre_miRNA from 1 species
ACAACAUUCGGACCGUCGGUCUACCGAGCAAUAUCACUCGCUUGGUGGAAGAUCUUCAUGAUGGAAU